ACUCAUGUUGACAGUUCCAGAAACGUGUGUGUGUGUGUGUGCGGUUUGUGUGUGCGGUGUGUAUUUUGAGAUCACGUUAGGGAGAAAUUUGAGCGUUUCUAUAUUGGAAGUGCGCAUGAACGUAAAUAAUCAGCGUGUUAUUUUUGGACUCAGCUCUUCGUUUUUCCGUUACGCGCCAGUGGAAGAUUGGAACGGCUGGGUGAGCUUAGAUGGCCUGAUCUUUUCUGCUUUGACAGUCCACUGCUCACGAAUUAGAUCCUGAGAGAUUACACCAAAUGGACAAAAACGAGCCAAAACUGUGGGAGAGCGUUCCUUGGCUAGGCGCUAGCCUGUGCUAAGCUAAUGCUGCUGCUGCUGUUGCUCAUAGAGUAAUGCCCCAACACACCAGGAGGGUGAAGACUAGCACAUGCCUCCUCCGAUACAUGUGAAGCCAGCCACCACCUCUUUUUGAACUGCUGCUGAUGCAGCACUGCCGAGUAGCAUCACAGCGUGCUCAGUUCCGAUACAUCAGCUCACAGAUGCCUUGUGUUGUGGACAUCACCCUUUAGUGAUGUGGGAAGAGAGCGCCAUCUACCCACCCGGAGGGAGCAGGGCCAAUUUUGCUCCCUCUGAGCGCCGGCAGCUUGAUGGCAAACCUGAUAAACAUUCUAAACAUUAUCAUAACCUGAAUAUGUGUUAAGAUUUUGAUAAUGCAAAAAUAUUUAUAAUUAAAAUAUAUAUUGUUUAUUUGUACAGGGAUACAGAAUUCAUAAUGUAUCUUCCGGCUCGUUACAGUACAAAUCUGUACUUCCUGCUGGUAGGAAAGACUUUAUAAUUUGGAGGGAAAACAUCUGACCUGGUAAAAAUUGAUAUUGUAUUUCUGAGGGUACAAUUAUGAAAAGUUUACCUUUGAGUACUUGUUUUUUAGUGUGUGUAUGACCAGUAAGGAUGAAAAUUUUGAUAAUAGUUGUAAAAAAAAAAUAGAGGUGGUCAUGAUAUUAUGUUUUGAUCAGAGUAAGCUUUUCAUAGGAUUAAUAAAUGGGGGAAAGUUCCAAGGGGUGUAUAAGGAAGCUCUGUAUAAGGAAAAACGCCUGUCAAACUGCACUGAUAAAGCCUGAGCAUGACAAGUGAGUGAAUGAGGGGGCAGCCAGAGCUGGAAUAAGCUCUCCAGGGGAUAAGUACUGUGUGUGUGUGUGUGUGUGUGUGUGUGUUUGUGUGUUUAUGGGAGAAUAGAAUAUGAUAAUACACACCGUUUACCUGGAAGCAGUGCUGCAUUAUUCUAAAUCAAAAGACGCUGGCAGCGUGGAGGCGUCACCCGCCCGACUCUUUAGCAGCAGAGCUAUUUAUAGCACGGGUUUAUUUAUAGCCUGUUUGUAAGGUCAUCUGGGUUACGCUCUGCUGUGCCUGUUAUCCCCCAUAACUGGGGAAUGCAUGGGUAAAAGGGAUUGUGGGUAAUCCUCACAGCCUCCUUCAAAGUGCAACUAUUUCGGAACUGUUUCAAUUCGGCCGGGAUUUUAUCCCCCAGAAACGGGAUGAUUAAUCUCUUUAUUCUGAAAGGUUUUAAAACAGGAACAUGGCUAAAAAACGUGAACCUGAAUGAGGUUAAUCUUCCCCUCUCUCUCUUUCUUUCUCUCUCUCUUUCUCUCUCUGUAUUUUUAGGGAACAACAAACAAACAGAAACCCUUUUCUCUGUUUUUCUCACAAUUUUAUUCGAAGUAAA